CAGUGCUGAAGUUCUGUGAUACACUUGGGCUCUGAGUCUGAGGCAGUCAGUGCAUAACAGAACUUUGGUACGGG
rnacentral:pre_miRNA from 1 species